UUAAGGUACUAAGGGCACACGGUGGAUGCCUUGGCACCAGGAGGCGAUGAAGGGCGUGGCAAGCUGCGAUAAGCCCCGGGGAGCCGCAAGCAGGCGUUGAUCCGGGGAUUCCCGAAUGGGGCAACCUACCGAGCAGGAGGCUCGGUAUCCCACCUUGUGGUGGGAGGCGAACGGGGGGAAGUGAAACAUCUCAGUACCCCCAGGAAAAGAAAUCAACCGAGAUUCCCCGAGUAGCGGUGAGCGAAAGGGGAAGAGCCUAAACCUCACCUACGUAAUAGGUCCUGGCCGUUGUAGGUGGGGGGUCGUGGGAAGCACCUGGGCUCGUCCAGGGAUAGAGCCGGGGAGUUACAAAAGGCUACCUUAGCCGAACCGUGUUGGAAAAGCGGGCCAUAGAGGGUGAUAGCCCCGUAGGCGAAAAGGUAAGCCUCUCCCUGAGGUGCUCUCCCGAGUAGGGUGGGACACGCGGAAUCCUGCCUGAAUCUGGGGGGACCACCCUCCAAGGCUAAAUACUCCCUGGUGACCGAUAGCGCAUAGUACCGUGAGGGAAAGGUGAAAAGAACCCCUGGCGGGGAGUGAAAUAGAACCUGAAACCGUGUGCCUACAAGCAAGUGGGAGGGUUGAAGUGGGUCUGGCCUUCGGGUGGACUCAUGGAUGCCUGACUGCGUGCCUUUUGCAAAAUGAGCCGGUGAGUCACGGUAUGUGGCGAGGCUAAGGACCAGGAGGUCCGGAGCCGUAGGGAAACCGAGUCCGAACAGGGCGACUGAGUCGCAUGCCGUGGACCCGAAGCGUGACGAUCUACCCAUGCCCAGGGUGAAGGGUAGGUAAAACUAUCUGGAGGCCCGAACGGGUUGGUGCUGAAAAACCAUCCGAUGAGGUGUGGGUAGGAGUGAAAAGCUAAUCGAGUCACGUGAUAGCUGGUUCUCCCCGAAAUGCAUUGAGGUGCAGCCUCACGGCGUGAGUACCGGAGGUAGAGCACUGGAUGGAUGAGGGACCCGGAGGGGUUACCGAGUCCAACCAAACUCCGAAUGCCGGUACUUGGACCGUGGGAGUGAGGACACGGGGGAUAAGCUCCGUGACCGAGAGGGGAACAGCCCAGACCGCUGGCUAAGGUCCCUAAAUGUGUGCUAAGUGUGUAAAGGAAGUGGGGCUACUGAGACAGCCAGGAGGUUGGCUUAGAAGCAGCCAUCCUUUAAAGAGUGCGUAAAAGCUCACUGGUCGAGUGGCCCUGCGCCGAAAAUGUAGGGGGCUUAAGCACACUACCGAAGCCGCGGGAUCAGGUGCUCUGUCGCGGGUGCCUGAUCGGUAGGGGAGCGUUCCCAGUGGGUUGAAGUCGCACCGUAAGGUGCGGUGGACUGCUGGGAAGUGAGAAUGCCGGCAUGAGUAACGAGAAGCAGGUGAGAAUCCUGCUCGCCGUAAGCCUAAGGUUUCCUGGGGAAGGUUCGUCCGCCCAGGGUUAGGCGGGACCUAAGGUGAGGCCGAAAGGCGUAGCCGAUGGGCAGCCGGUUGAUAUUCCGGCCCCACUCCCAAACCGUUAUCACCGAUGGGGUGACGCAGAAGGCUAGGCUGAGCGGGUGGAUGGUAGAGCCCGUCCAAGGGAGUAGGGGGAGGGAGCAGGCAAAUCCGUUCCCUCGUUAACCCCGAGACCUGAUGGGGAGCCCUCUUCGGAGGGCGAAGCAGCUGAUGCCACGCUGCCAAGAAAAACCUCUAGGGAGGUUUGGGAGUGCCCGUACCGCAAACCGACACAGGUAGGCGGGUGUAAAGGCACCAAGGCGAGCGAGCGAACCCUCGCUAAGGAACUCGGCAAGUUGGCCCCGUAACUUCGGGAGAAGGGGCGCCCACGCGUAGGUGUAAGCCUUCGCGGCUGAGGCCGAGGUGGGUCGCAGAGAACAGGCCCAGGCGACUGUUUACUAAAAACACAGGUCUCUGCAAAGGGGUAACCCGAUGUAUAGGGACUGACGCCUGCCCAGUGCCGGAAGGUUAAGGGGAGGGGUUAGCCGAGUCGUUUGGCUCGGUGAGGCUCCAAACCGAAGCCCCGGUAAACGGCGGCCGUAACUAUAACGGUCCUAAGGUAGCGAAAUUCCUUGUCGGGUAAGUUCCGACCUGCAUGAAUGGCGUAACGAUCUGGGCACUGUCUCGGCGGGGGGCUCGGUGAAAUUUUAGUCCCGGUCAAGAUGCCGGGUACCCGCAGCUGGACGGAAAGACCCUGUGGAGCUUUACUGCAGCCUGACAUUGAGUUUUGGUGUGGCAUGUAGAGGAUAGGUGGGAGGCUGUGAAGCCUGGGCGCCAGCCUGGGUGGAGCCACCCUUGGAAUACCACCCUUGCCAUGCUGGAGCUCUAACCUGCCCAAGUUCAUCCUUGGGGGGGACAGUGUCUGGUGGGCAGUUUAACUGGGGCGGUUGCCUCCUAAAAGGUAACGGAGGCGCCCAAAGGUCACCUCAGCACGGAUGGCAAUCGUGUGUAGAGCGCAAGGGUAUAAGGUGGCCUGACUGUGAGGGGGACGCCCCGAACAGAGAGGAAACUCGGGCCUAGUGAUCCGGCGGUCGAGAGUGGGAUUGCCGUCGCUCAACGGAUAAAAGUUACCCCGGGGAUAACAGGCUAAUCUCCCCCGAGAGUUCACAUCGACGGGGAGGUUUGGUACCUCGAUGUCGGCUCGGCGCAUCCUGGGGCUGGAGAAGGUCCCAAGGGUUGGUCUGUUCGCCCAUUAAAGCGCUACGUGAGCUGGGUUUAGAACGUCGUGAGACAGUUCGGUCCCUAUCCGCUGCGGGCGCAGGAUGCUUGAGGGGGGCUGCUCCUAGUACGAGAGGACCGGAGUGGACGGACCUCUGGUGUACCAGUUGUGCCGCCAGGCGCAUCGCUGGGUAGCCAUGUCCGGAAGGGAUAAGCGCUGAAAGCAUCUAAGCGCGAAGCCCGCCCCAAGAUGAGGCAUCCUACCGCGAGGUGGGCAACCACCUGCGGGUAAGGUAUCCGGGAGACUACCGGGUAGAUAGGCCGGAGGUGUAAGCCCAGUAAUGGGUUGAGCUGACCGGUACUAAUAUACCGAGGCCUUAAACCUC
rnacentral:rRNA from 1 species